GUCAAAAUUAGAAUUUAAAUUACAAAAAAUAAAUUUGCAUAAAUUUAAACACACAUCUUUACAGUAUUGACAAAACAGAACUACAUGAACAUGAAAGAUUACCGCACGGAAUAAUUCAAAACCUAUUACAAACAAAAAAAAAAGACUUAUCUAGACUCGCUAUCUAUAACAUAUGGAUCCUCAUGUGUCUAUGACAUGUGAGUCUAGUGAUAAAUAUGUCAUCACCACUUAUAAGAGUGACAAAAAAUUAAUUAUUCCCAAAUCAUUGGCUACCUAUCCCUCCUAGAUCAAUCAAUCCUCCAAAUCAAAGCAGCUUGAAUCUUAUACCAAAACAAAAGAACAAACAGAUUAAUUGGAUUGGAUUGCUUUGAAUCUUUCCCACUCCACCACGUCGUCGUCGUCGUCGUGGCCGGAGGUGGUGGAGAAAGCUGUCGCCGACGGCAUCCAUCCGGAGUGAGGUUAGGCACGACCUAUCUCAUACGUGCCGACAUGGCCACGAUUAAAU
rnacentral:lncRNA from 1 species